AGCAAGACCAGCUCAAGUAGUCACACUCAGUGACCCCACCACUCCGCCCUCGCCUGUCUCUUUAAGAACCCGAGGCUCACCCUCGGGAGAAGGGCGGGAGGGAGCGGGCUCUGCGCGCCGCAGCACGCAGGUGUCUCUGGGAGCUGCUGUCUCUUUAAGGAGGCGGGGCUCUUCCCGGAGGAGGCGGAGAGGUUCCGCCCCCCGGACCUCCGGCUUCCGGCAACUGGGCUGGACCGAAACCGGCGCGGAGCAACUGAGGCCUGAGCCUUCCCGGGACCUGGGGGACACCUAACCCCGCGAGAUGAGGAAACUGAGGCCGCGAGGAGCGCGCACACAGCAGAGAAGCAGCAGAAUCGGGAAUCAAACCCAGCUCUGUCUGACCCCAGAGCCUGUGCCUUUAACCACUGGCUAGGCUGAACUGCCUUUGUUCUUCACUGUCCCCAUCACCUCUUUCAAACCUCAGCCUCUCCUUCCUCAUCGUUACAUCUCUAGGCUGCACCUGGUCUCUAAACAUUCACACAACCCCUGCAAAUUUUCUUCCUCAUAAUUGGGAGAAGACUCACUGGCCGAAUGGCAGCAGUAGAUGACUUGCAAUUUGAAGAAUUUGGCAAUGCAGCCACUUCUCUGACAGCAAACCCAGAUGCCACCACAGUAAACAUUGAGGAUCCUGGUGAAACCCCAAAACAUCAGCCAGGAUCCCCAAGAGGCUCAGGAAGAGAAGAAGAUGAUGAGUUACUGGGAAAUGAUGACUCUGACAAAACUGAGUUACUUGCUGGACAGAAGAAAAGCUCCCCCUUCUGGACAUUUGAAUACUACCAAACAUUCUUUGACGUGGACACCUACCAGGUCUUUGACAGAAUUAAAGGAUCUCUUUUGCCAAUACCCGGGAAAAAUUUUGUGAGGUUAUAUAUCCGCAGCAAUCCAGAUCUCUAUGGCCCCUUUUGGAUAUGUGCCACGUUGGUCUUUGCCAUAGCAAUUAGUGGGAAUCUUUCCAACUUCUUGAUCCAUCUGGGAGAGAAGACGUACCGUUAUGUGCCCGAAUUCCGAAAAGUGUCCAUAGCAGCUACCAGCAUCUAUGCCUAUGCCUGGCUGGUUCCUCUUGCACUCUGGGGUUUCCUCAUGUGGAGAAACAGCAAAGUUAUGAACAUCGUCUCCUAUUCAUUUCUGGAGAUUGUGUGUGUCUAUGGAUAUUCCCUCUUCAUUUAUAUCCCUACCGCAAUACUGUGGAUUAUCCCCCAGAAAGCUGUUCGUUGGAUUCUAGUCAUGAUUGCCUUGGGCAUCUCAGGAUCUGUCUUGGCAAUGACAUUUUGGCCAGCUGUUCGUGAGGAUAACCGACGCGUUGCGUUGGCCACAAUUGUGACAAUUGUGUUGCUUCAUAUGCUGCUCUCUGUGGGCUGCUUGGCAUACUUUUUUGAUGCACCAGAGAUGGACCAUCUCCCAACAACUACAGCUACUCCAAACCAAACAGUUGCUGCAGCCAAGUCCAGCUAAUGAGGAAAGACUCACUUGAGAUACCCUCUCCUUGCUGAAGUUUUUCUUGACUUCUCCAGACGGAGUCUCACUCUGUUGCCCAAGCUGGAAGACAGUGGUGCAAUCUUGGCUCAUUGCAACCUCCACCUCCCGGGUUCAAGUGAUUCUCAUGCCUCAGCCUUCCGAGUAGCUGGAAUUACAGGAAUGCAUCAUCAUGCCUGGCUAAGUUUUCUGUAUUUUUGGUAGAGAUGGGGUUUUGCCACGUUGGCCAGGCUGGCCUCUUAACUCCUGGCCUCAAGUGAUCUGCCCACCUUAGCCUCCCAAAGUGCUGGGAUUACAGGCAUGAGUCACCAUGCCCGCCUGAGAAGGGAAUUUUCUAGUCUUCAUAUUCUUCCCUAGUCUUGACAUUAAUUUGGAACAGACAGCUAGAAAGAGGAGAGUAAAACAGAGUAUAUAUUUAUGAAUAUAAAAUCUUGAGUGCUUGCUCUGUGGGCCCGUUUGUCCCUACCUUUAUUUAGCGUUUUAGAACCCAAGUUGAUGGUUACUAAAAGGCUGAUCAGGGCUUUAGGUUCUUUCGUGCCAGCAAAUUACAGCAUCUGGCCUUCUCCAGUCACUUUUCACAGAUAUUUUGUUGGCAAUGUUUCUCUUUUCUUGAGCCAGUAGACUUGGGCAGUUAGCCCUUGCCUUAGCCUCACCUUCGUGGUAUCAUCAAACGCUGACAUCUGAAUGUGGUAUUGCCCUGUUGAUGUCUCCAGGAAGGCCUAGCUCAUUCUCCCAAGUGGAAGGCUAUGCAUUAGGAACUUAUUCUCCACCAUAUUCCUUAGUCUCCCCUGGAUUUAACUCUAUCUCCAGCCCCUCUUUCCAAGUUUCCCUGUCUUGCAAAUCCCCAGGUAGGUAUACCAACAGUUGCCUCAAAUUCAUUACAUUCCAAGCCAUACUCAUCCCCCACUACAAUCAGAUCCUCCUCAUGUUUUCCUGUCUCAGGGAAUGGCAUGACACCAUCAUUUAUAUUGUCCCUGACUGCAGAGUAGGUUAGAUUCUUUAUUACACACUCGCCUGGCAAGUUAAGAUUAUAAUUAAAUAAAUAAUAUAUUCUGUAUUUGUUUGCCCUGUUGCUUCUCUUGGUAGACUGGUUCCUUGACAGUUGGGACCAUGUCUGUCUUGUUCAUUACUGUACCCAGUACCUGGCACAUGGGUCCUCAAUAUUUGUUGGAUUAAUUAAGAAAUCCAUCCAGUCACCCAAGAUAGAAACCUCAGCAUCAAGGUAGAUUGUAGAUUCCCCCCACUCACUUUCCACAUAGUAUCAGUCAGCAAGACUUGUCUUUUCUAUCUCUGAAGUAUUUUUCAUCUCUGUCCUGUCAUUACCAUACCCAGUGUUCAGGAUCGAUCAUUUCAUAUUUGAACUGUAGCAGUAACAUGAUGGCUUUCUCCACUUCUUUUCUUUUUCUCCUUCCAAUUCGUCCUAUACACAGCCACAAGGGUCUUUGAAAAUUUAUAAUUCUGACCACGCCUUUGACUAUGUCACUUCCCUACUUAGAAACUUUUUUUUUGGCCCCCUAUUGCCGAAAGAACAAAAUUGAAACCCCCUGCAUUGCCACAAUCUAUCCCUGAUUUAUUUGUCUUGCCUCAUAUCCUGCCAUUAUCUCCUGUAUAACCUUACAUUUCAACUACCACGGUUUUCCAAGUCCCAGAUCUUUAAGUCCCUCCAUAUCCACUCUUAUCUUUUCUCCUCUAGUGCUUAACAUAGUGCUGUCAUGGAGAAGAGAAAGAGAGAAGGAUGGGCGAAGGUAGCUUUCGGAUCUGGCUUGGAAAGGGUCACUGGGUUUCCAAGGAAAUAGAAGAAAACUUUUUAAAGCAUCAUCUUUCUUCCAACACUAAGCUCUACUUUGAGCAUCAAAAUCAGACUCAAGGCUCAAGAUUUGGGGAAUUGGUGGCAGCAGACUGCUCUGGUGUUGGGAGUUAUAUCUCUAAACAUACAUGAAUAUCCUUUUCUACAAUGUAGCUCUUUCCUGUUGGGGAGGGGGGGUGCUUUAUCUUGAAAGUUUCCCGUUUUGUUUUUCAGUUCUCUUUUGUUUUUUGGAGCAUGAUUCUUUGGGAAGUGGCAUCCACUGCAGGAAAGCAGAAUGAGCAGAGCCAGCAGAACUGAUGGAGUGGCACAAACUCCCAGUGUCUGGAUGGUGCCACACUGGCGCCUAAUCACCCGUUUAACAAGCAGAAAUUAAAUGUUGCUCAGCACAUGUGUCUUUCAGCUCUUCUUUUUCAUCCAUGGAUGAUCAUUGCGAGCAUGCGCUGAUUGGACUGAAAUGCCGGGGAAUAGGUUAGGCAUGCUCAGUGCCGUCCCUUUGUCACCACAGUCAAAUGACAUGCUUCACUGUGGUACCUUAAUACCCAAAACAGAACCAUGCAAAAUUCUGAUGUCUUCUCUCUGAAUUAUGUACAGACUACCUGGGGGAUCCUCUUCUCUCCAAAUGUUAGCCCUCCUGAAGUAGCCAAACAGUAGAAACUUUGGUGGGGAUUAACUGGGAGCUUGAAAAUUUGUCUUUGGUAACCUGAUACUGGACAGCUGAACCGAAUGGCUGCAAAAUAAAUACCUCACAUGCUG